UGAGGGAGGGCGUUUGCCUGGGCCCCUUACCCUCGAGGGGAAACAGGAUGUCGGUAGCGAGCCACUCGUGCGAUGCGUCACAGCAGAACGCCACAGGGUUGCUGGAGGCGCUCGGUGCAGAGGGCAGCGGAGGCUGGGGGAGAGGACCUUCCUCAGGCGGGACACGAGCCACGCAAGCCGUCCCCGCCCUCACCCUCACGCCGCACGCGUUGUGGCAUUGAGCUAUGCACUGCGUUGUCAGCCACCAGCCCUGUCUGAGUCCGUCCACCCUGUCACCCCGAGGGAACCCCCGACCCAGCCCCUGGCACCCUUGGCUCUCUCCCGUGUCCACGGGUUUGCCCGUCUGGACGCUUCGCGGAGGCGGGGGUCACACACGGCGUGGCCUUUCGGGUCUGGCCUCUCCCUCGGCCUCGAGGUUUCAAAGCCCAUCCUCACCGCGGCUGGCGUCAGCGACCCUUUCUCUGUCCCAGAACAUUCCACCGAGCGGAGACUUCGCGUCCUAUGUGUCCUAAGAGACCCUUCGAGGGCUGUCCUGCCCCGGGUGCCGGGGUCCCUUUGUAAACACCGCUCAGCGCCUCUUACGAGCCUGAAGCCUGAGGAGUGGGAACCUGGGUCUCUCUCUCAUCUUCUUUUCCUGCUCUUGUUGGGUGUGUCUGUACUUUCACCCAAGGUCUCGGGCACCGCACGAGGUCCUGGUUUCCCCCUCUGGAAAGCGGGAAAGGUCAGACGUGAAUCUUUUGGAAAAACAGAACCGAAGAGCAGUGAAGGUGGUGGUGAAACACGCCAGUCUUCUGGGUGGCUGGGUUUGGACUGAACUGGCCGUGCACGUUCGUUCGCUCUCUCUUCCCAGCCCCCCCCCCCCCCCUCGUGUGCACUGGCUGAACCCAGCCCCUUUUUUCUUAAGCCUAGCUCCGUGUUGAGGUAGGUUAGGGAGGCAUGGUUGUAAUUUUGGGUGUGCUGUGUCCGUUUCACCCUCUCCCCCCACUCCCCUCUCCUGCCCAUCCCUUCCCUUUAAAUAUGUGAACGUCUUCCAUUAAGGAGCUCCCUCUUGUAUUCGCGGGGCAAACAAAUGCCCUCAAGCCAGGGAUCAUAUUUAGUUUAUAAAUAGGGUACCUUUGUUUUUUUUUAAGUUUAUUUAUCUUGAGAGAGACAGACAGAGAGAGAGCGCAUUCGCGGGAGGGAGGGGCAAAGAGAGGGAGAGAAUCCCCAGCAGGCUCUGCACCAUCAGUGUGGAGCCCGAUGUGGGGCUUGAUCCCAUGAACUGUGAGCUCAUGACCCGAGCUGAAACCAAGAAUCGGACGCUUAACGGACGGAGCCACGCCGGCCCCCCAGUGGGGUACUUUCUUAAGCAGGGUCCUAGAUCGGCUGGUUAUUGGCUUGGGGAUUUCAAGACAACUGUGUUUCAUUUUCUGCGUAUUUUCCUGAUUUGUUCCUCCUCUGCCGGCUGCGUGCGGCUGCUCCGUGCGGGGUGGAGUUCUCCGGCAUUCUCCGCCGAGUCCGUCCCUCCCAGGGAUGGUCCCUGCCGAGGCCAGGAGGUGCCACCAAAGGCAGGCGUGCGCUGGGCCCUUGGCGCUCCGGCGAGCAGAGCGCAACAGCGUGCGUCCGUGCCGUCCGUGUUGGAGUUCUGAGAACAGCCGCGGGUGCAGCACGCUGUGUCUCCAAACAGUGGGUUUCAGGGAGAUGCCCUGUGCGGCAGAAUCGAACAGCAGUUGGCAGUCAGGAGUAACGUGUCUGCGUCAAAGAUAACGGCCGGGAUUCACCUCUUCCGCGUGGAAAGUACAGCCAGAUAGUUUUCCCACAGCCACGCAACAUCGACUGUCGGCCGUGUUCAUUUCCUGUAGCUGUGGAGCAAAUUUCCCGAAAACCGUGGCCGCAGAUAGCGAACAGAGCGUCUCACGGUUUCUGUGGGUUGCACGUUCAGAAGUGGCUUCGCUGGGGGGUUCUGCCUCGGGAGCCUCUCACGAAGUUGCGGCAAGGACGUUGGCGGGGGCUGCGUCAUCCGAAGGACUGACCGAGGCGGGCGGGUCCGGGUCCAAGAUGGGGCACUGCCGUGGCUGCCGGCGGGAGGCCUCAGUUUCCCCCCGCGUGGGCCUCUCGGGGGCUGCUUGAGUGUCCUCACAACACGGCAGCUGGAUUCCCCCAGAGGGAGCGGGGUGGGAGCCGCCGUGUCUUCUGUGACCAAGGCUCACAGGGCCCCGUUGUCUCCAGUGCCCUGUCGCUCACCCGGCUCGGGGCCCCUUCGGUGUGGGGGGGACCCGCAUGAGAGCACCAGCACGGGGGGCGGGGGUCACUGGGGGCUGCCGCGGAGGCCGGCGAGCACACCGUCUUCCCCUGUCAUCGCCGUCUGUUAGGUGGAAAUUCGUGUCUCACCCUUGUCACGGACCUGUCUUCCACAGUGAGCUUGAUCAUUUUUCUCUCCUCGGCUGACGGCCACACGCACGUCCCGGGAAGUUGAGUAAACCUGUGUCCGUGCGACAUUUUUUUUUUUUUAAACAUGAUUUAAAAAAACUUUUUUUAU